CCUACGGGAGUCAGCAGUGAGGAAUAUUGGUCAAUGGCCGGGAGGCUGAACCAGCCAAGUCGCGUGAGGGAAGACGGCCCUACGGGUUGUCAACCUCUUUUGUCAGGGAGCCAGGUGCAGGUCGGGACCUGCUGUGCGAGUACCUGAAGAAAAAGCCUCGGCUAACUCAGUGUCAGCAGCCGCGGUAAUACGGAGGAUUCGAGCGUUAUCCGGAUUUAUUGGGUUUAAAGGGUGCGCAGGCGGAGGCACAAGUCAGCGGUAAAAUCGCGGGGCUCAACCCCGCUCCGCUGUUGAAACUGUGUCCCUUGAGUGCGCGAAGGGUAGGCGGAAUGCGUGGUGUAGCGGUGAAAUGCAUAGAUAUCACGCAGAACUCCGAUCGCGAAGGCAGCCUACCGGCGCGCAACUGACGCUCAUGCACGAAAGCGUGGGUAUCGAACAGGAUUAGAUACCCGGGUAGUC
rnacentral:rRNA from 1 species